UACGGAGGGGGCGAGCGUUAUUCGGAAUUAUUGGGCGUAAAGGGCGCGUAGGCGGCUUCGUAAGUCAAAGGUGAAAUCCCUCGGCUCAACUGAGGAACUGCCUUUGAAACUGUGAGGCUUGAGGCCGGGAGGGGGUAGCGGAAUUCCCAGUGUAGCGGUGAAAUGCGUAGAUAUUGGGAGGAACACCAGUGGCGAAGGCGGCUACCUGGACCGGUUCUGACGCUGAGGCGCGAAAGCGUGGGGAGCAAACAGG
rnacentral:rRNA from 1 species